rnacentral:rRNA from 1 species
AUGAACGCUGGCGGCGUGCCUAAUACAUGCAAGUCGAGCGAACGGACGAGAAGCUUGCUUUUCUGAUGUUAGCGGCGGACGGGUGAGUAACACGUGGAUAACCUACCUAUAAGACUGGGAUAACUUCGGGAAACCGGAGCUAAUACCGGAUAAUAUUUUGAACCGCAUGGUUCAAAAGUGAAAGACGGUCUUGCUGUCACUUAUAGAUGGAUCCGCGCUGCAUUAGCUAGUUGGUAAGGUAACGGCUUACCAAGGCAACGAUGCAUAGCCGACCUGAGAGGGUGAUCGGCCACACUGGAACUGAGACACGGUCCAGACUCCUACGGGAGGCAGCAGUAGGGAAUCUUCCGCAAUGGGCGAAAGCCUGACGGAGCAACGCCGCGUGAGUGAUGAAGGUCUUCGGAUCGUAAAACUCUGUUAUUAGGGAAGAACAUAUGUGUAAGUAACUGUGCACAUCUUGACGGUACCUAAUCAGAAAGCCACGGCUAACUACGUGC